rnacentral:rRNA from 1 species
CCAAAAGCGGAAAAGAAAAUAACUAUGAUUCCCUUAGUAACGGCGAGUGAACAGGGAAAAGCCCAAAUUUGUAAUCUGGCACUUUUUACAAGUGUCCGAGUUGUAAUUUGUAGAACUGUUAUCCGCGCUGGACCAUGUACAAGUCUGUUGAAAAGCAGCAUCAUUGAAGGUGAAAAUCCUGUAGAUGAUAUGGACUACCAGUGCAUUUGUGAUACGGUUUCUAAGAGUCGAGUUGUUUGGGAAUGCAGCUCAAAGUGGGUGGUAAAUUCCAUCUAAGGCUAAAUAUAAGUGAGAGACCGAUAGCAAACAAGUACCGUGAGGGAAAGAUGAAAAGAACUUUGAAAAUAGAGUUAACAGUACGUGAAAUUGCUGAAAGGGAAACGUUUGAAGUUAGUUUUGUAUUCGUUGGAUCAGCUUCGCAAGGAGUGUAUUCUGAUGAUAAGCAAGUCAACAUCAAUCUAUGAGUGUCGGAGAAGGGUUUUGAGAAUGUAGCAAUUUUUAUUAAUUGUGUUAUAGCUUGAGACUUGGAUACGAUGCUUUGGAUUGAGGAACGCGUAGUAAGCUUUGAGCGGAUUCGAAAGGAUCUCCUUACUAUGGAUGUGA